AAUGAACGCUGGCGGCAGGCCUAACACAUGCAAGUCGAGCGGAUGAGAGGAGCUUGCUCCUUGAUUCAGCGGCGGACGGGUGAGUAAUGCCUAGGAAUCUGCCUGGUAAUGGGGGACAACGUUUCGAAAGGAACGCUAAUACCGCAUACGUCCUACGGGAGAAAGCAGGGGACCUUCGGGCCUUGCGCUAUCAGAUGAGCCUAGGGCGGAUUAGCUAGUAGGUGGGGUAAUGGCCCACCUAGGCGACGAUCCGUAACUGGUCUGAGAGGAUGAUCAGUCACACUGGAACUGAGACACGGUCCAGACUCCUGCGGGAGGCAGCAGUGGGGAAUAUUGGACAAUGGGCGAAAGCCUGAUCCAGCCAUGCCGCGUGUGUGAAGAAGGUCUUCGGAUUGUAAAGCACUUUAAGUUGGGAGGAAGGGCAGUUAGUUAAUACCUGGCUGUUUUGACGUUACCAACAGAAUAAGCACCGGCUAACUUCGUGCCAGCAGCCGCCGCAGUAA
rnacentral:rRNA from 1 species